ACGGCUAUAACACGUUGAAGCACAAGUUCUAUUCAGAUCACUGAAGUUAAGCUAAGUCGAGCCUGGUCAGUACCUAUAUGGGUGACCGCUUAGGAAUGCCAGAU